AUUGAACGCUGGCGGCAGGCCUAACACAUGCAAGUCGAACGCGUGGCGGACGGGUGAGUAAUGUCUGGGAAACUGCCUGAUGGCGGGGGAUACCUACUGGAAACGGUAGCUAAUACCGCAUACCAUCAGAUGUGCCCAGAUUGGAUUAGCUUGUUGGUGGGGGAAAGGCUCACCAAGGCGACGAGCCCUAGCUGGUCUGAGAGGGUGACCAGCCACACUGGAACGUAGACACGGUCCAGACUCCUACGGGAGGCAGCAGUGGGGAAUAUUGCACAAUGGGGGCAAGCCUGAGGCAGCCAUGCCGCGUGUAUGAAGAAGGCCGUCGGGUUGUAAAGUACUGUCAGCGGGGAGGCGUUACCCGCAGAAGAAGCACCGGCUAACUCCGUGCCAGCCGCCGCGGUAAUUC
rnacentral:rRNA from 1 species